AGUGACUGCGGAGGUCAUUACCUAGAGUUGUAGGCUUUGCCUGCUAUCUCUUACCCAUGUCUUUUGAGUACCUUACGUUUCCUCGGUGGGUUCGCCCACCGAUUGGACAAAUUUAAACCCUUUGCAGUUGAAAUCAGCGUCUGAAAAAACUUAAUAGUUACAACUUUCAACAACGGAUCUCUUGGUUCUGGCAUCGAUGAAGAACGCAGCGAAAUGCGAUAAGUAGUGUGAAUUGCAGAAUUCAGUGAAUCAUCGAAUCUUUGAACGCACAUUGCGCCCCUUGGUAUUCCAUGGGGCAUGCCUGUUCGAGCGUCAUUUGUACCUUCAAGCUCUGCUUGGUGUUGGGUGUUUGUCUCCUGUAGACUCGCCUCAAAACAAUUGGCAGCCGGCGUAUUGAUUUCGGAGCGCAGUACAUCUCGCGCUUUGCACUCAUAACGACGACAUCCAAAAGUACAUUUUUACACUCUUGACCUCGGAUCAGGUAGGGAUACCCGCUGAACUUAAGCAUUU
rnacentral:rRNA from 1 species